GACUUUCUGUUGUACCAGAACCGGAUAUGAUCCCCGCUUCUCAGUCUUUUCCUCGCUGCUCGUGCAUGUGGACGGAGCCAAGAUGAAGUGUGAUCAGUUUAAUCUUCAACUUUUUGCAAAUCUCCAGUUUUCUGUCGCGGAGUGUUUCCGUGUUGCUCCGGAGAAGCUUCUCAAACAGAAACCAAUAAGAACAGGGAGGUGAAUGGUGCAUUCUGGGAACCGGCCAAACUAAAUCCUUCAGGGACAAUGUGACGUGUCAAGAUUGAGGUUGAACGGGACCUCGUCAUGUGUGCAGCUGUUCACAGGUGAGAGUGAGGAGGCUUCAGAUCUGACGGGACAAACCCCCGUGUGUUUGACCAGACGAACACUGUUGGUUGACGGACGGCACGUUCAUGACUCAACACAGCUCGUAAAGACCUGAUGGUGCUGCUGGUGACAGACAGCUGCUGAUCUGAUUUAUUUUAAAGGCACGUUCAUGACUCAACACAGCUGAUUAAGAGUCUUGAUGGUGCUGAUCUGGUUUUCUUUAAAGGUUUCCACAAACAAAACAUGCAAAUAUACUCAUCGGCCAGAAGACACCUGCUGACGAGCUGCACAACAAACCUGAAUGAAGAAAAUACAAAUUGUAAUGUUUAAUAAAGAACACGAUGAUGGGAGCAAAUAUGUGUUUGCAAGUUGCAUUUGUUGAAUAAACAGUGAUUCACUUAACGUCUAAUGAUAAAAAUAUAAUUGAAUAAAUAACCUGGGGGAUCAGGUGAGGUUUGAUAUGUCUCUUUUCCCAACUUGGGGAUAUAACUUUAAUUUGACUGUUGCACAACUUUAUCUGGUCACUUAUUUUUGCUCACCCCAACUUCCAAGGCACGUGUCUGCUCACACUGAAUCUGAUGUUUGGGUUUCUCUUUUAAUUGUAUUUAUAAGUGUUUUGAUCUUAUACAAAUCAAACUAAUACUGAAUUAAACAAAGAUGUGAAAAUGUUUUCCACCAAUGCAAAGUAGAGAUGACAGCAAUAAACAAU